UACGGGGGGGGCAAGCGUUGUUCGGAAUUACUGGGCGUAAAGGGCUCGUAGGUGGCCAACUAAGUCGGACGUGAAAUCCCUCGGCUUAACCGGGGAACUGCGUCUGAUACUGGAUGGCUUGAGUUCGGGAGAGGGAUGCGGAAUUCCAGGUGUAGCGGUGAAAUGCGCAGAUAUCAGGAGGAACACCGGUGGCGAAGGCGGAUCUCUGGGCCUUACCUGACGCUCAGGCGCGAAAGCUAGGGGAGCGAACAGG
rnacentral:rRNA from 1 species